GAUAAUGAAGUUCCCCUCUUCGACUUCGGCCAUCCUCUUCUCAAUCGCGUCUCCAACAGCUUCCUCAAAGCUGCUGCGAUAGGAGCUAUCCAAGCUAUGUCCCGUGAGGCUUAUUUCACGGCUGUCGAAGGAGCGAGCCUUGAUAAUGGUGGCAGCAUCGUACCCGAUGUUUCAGAUGCCAAAAGAGCUCGUUUUCCUGGUCUCGGAGGUACAUCAUAUUCGGCCAUCUAAAUUUUGUAUAUCUGACUCUCUCUUUCAAA